GAAUGUUAUUUGGCAUGAGGUUUUUACCCUACAUGAUUGUUUUUUUUUUUAUGGCUCAGUGGUGUGUGUGUUUGGGUUUGACAUGAGAUGGAUGAUUUUUGAGCAUAGGGUUCUGCUGUGUGUGUCUCCCACACACACCUGGCAUGGGGUACUACGUGUGUUUGGUUCCACCUGGCAUGGGGUUCUACGUGUGUGCCCUAGGUUCUAUGUGUGUGUGUCCGGCUUGCUUUGACAGUGUUCAUACGGGGGUCUGUGUGAUUGGCUUGGGAUAUUGGAAUGGUCAAAUAAAUCAUACCUGAUGGACGGGCACACGUUUACUUAAGGGCCUCAGUAGACAUGAAGAGCCCUGAGCGACGCUCCGGAGCGAUAUCCAACACACUGGGCAGGAAGGAGAGGAUCCAAAUCAAGUGUAAAAGGAUGCAAGCGGCGUGUUCAGAUCAGUGACUUCAAACUAGGACUAAACCAAUCAGGAUCAAUGGAGGAUGGACAUCUAAAGGCAUUCCACGAGGAGAGUCUGAAGUUGGAAAGGGACCUAAAUGGGUAUUCAAGAUGACCUUCAGACCUGUAAUGAGACGGCUCUUCCUACCUGGCUGGAUUGAUGGAGAGCCCUGUGGAUCUUGUCUUGCUCUCAGUUGCACGUCUUCUCAGGCUGUACUGUAUUUGUUUCGGACAGGACUAGCUGAACGAUUGGUUCCCUUAAUCAGAACCAAUCUGGGAACUCCAACUAGUGCGCUCUUUGAGCUGAAGCUGUGCUCUUCAGCUGAGGAGGUAAGGAAGCCUUCACUGGGGCUUCAAGGUGUAAAGAGGAUAAUGUUUUAAAGUGUUCCAUGGUACUCUGAUGAAGAACGUUGUUGUGUUCCACUGGCUGAGAGGAAGAACCCUCACAUCUUCCUCUUGGCCUUUCUCCUCUGAGAAUCCUGGCGUCAUCUAGAAGGAUAUUCCAGCUCAUGUAACUGAUGUCACGAUAGAUGCUCAAACACUUGGUUUCUCCUGAGGGGCGUGUCUAUAGAACUGUAGACUUCAGACAGCACUGUAUCCCAGCAUGCAUCUCUGCUCACUCAGACCACACCCCCAUGAAUAGGAUGCAACACUCUAGGGAUGGUGAAGUAGAGUUUUAUAAGUAACGAGGGAGCAGACAAAGGUGAUUAGAACACAAUGGCAUGUCAAGUCUGUAAAUCUUUAAACCAUGAAGAUGGUUGGAUAGUUCGGAAUUGGGCUUCUUUUUUACUAUGGGCAGUCCUUUCACUCGGAUGCCCACAUCUCACUGGACCUGUACAUGUGUUGGCUGGCUGGCAUGAUUUGCUGUUGGUGAUGAGGCGGUCAGGGUGACGUUGCAGGGCUAUGGUCGGCUCUCUGUGAGCUCAACGUUUAGAUUUGCUCUGUAUGGUUUGUACCCUGAAUAAUCUAGAUAAUUGUAAAAUGUAGACACGGUUUUGUAUUGAAUGAUUCCAGGAUUUUAGGUUUAAAGUUGUUGUGGGACGUACAUGGUAGUUUGGUUCUUCGUACGGUUUUGAGUGAUACAACUUGUACACACUGGGUGCAUAAUAAUGUAAAUGUAAUGUAAUGACCAACAGCAACAAACGGAUCUCCUCAAGGUAAGUCUGUUGGCUGUGUUUUAAUGAAGACCAUCGCUGGACUUCAGGAACUUCCUCCGUUCAGCUCAAGGUGAGGCGCUGGUUCUGUUUUUUUCUUUGGUUGGUUCCGGCCGGAAUGUUCGGAUUCCAGUCGGACAGUUUGUGCUUCCCGCCGUGGAAGGUUCUGAGUGCGGUCACUUGAUUUAGUCCCAAUGGUUAGCAUAGAACGUAGUCUUGACAACCAUAAGAAACCACCUGGCAGUUAGUUGGACGGUAGUCCCCUGAGGGAAUCUGGCGGAACGUUCUGGAUUGCAUUUGCGUAACCUCGAGCCGCUGCCAAAGUUUGAUAUUAAAUACAUACUGACGCGUACGUCGUAAAAUAUGUUGAUCAUUUCCGAUGGUUGCGCCGUACUUUUAACCACGUUGACGUGACGGGACUCUCGCUGCGUACAAAACAGUGUUCUACUUGCGGGCCCAUUUUUGACAUCAUUGAAGGCUGAAAAUCAUUUCAAGGUGGAAGACAAUUUGACAUUUCUUCAACGGAACGCAGCACCUGAAAAUGGUACAUAUUUGAUUUAAUAUCGAUACUGCUUAGUGUUCUUUGUUACUUCAGCUUUUGUACGUUCUAAAUAUCUGCCGUCAUUAAUUGCCACUGAAGUUAAACCCUACCCAAUGGAAUGACGUUAAAUAACGACUUUGGUGCAGAGUUCUCAACUGGAUAAUAUCAAAGCUAAAAUAAUGGCCGUCCUUCCCACAUGUUACAGUAAAAGAUACUCUAGAACUGUACAUGGUUAAAAAGGUAACAUGUAGUUUGUCCCAAGGUGUCUGCCUCCUCACCCAGAGCCAGACCGCCACCUCCUGUCAGAAGUCCUCCAGAACAGCUGAAAGGUGAAGCUGAGAGGCUGGGGACCGGAGGCUUGUGGUGCCAGGAUGGACCGGAGACUGAGGUUGGAGACCAGGGGCCUGCAGCACCGGACCAGAGGACCAGGAAUCCAUGGCUGAAGAGGCUGAUGGAGGAGCCAUGCUGAAGGAGCUGAUGGAGUCGUGCUGAAGGCCCUGCCUGGUGGAGGAGCUGGUGGAGGCCCUGCCUGGUGAAGGACGUCUGUCGUGGGGUAGUUGGAGCUUGACUCGGAGACCAGGACUCUGUCUGAGGAGAGCUGAUGUAGGAGCUGAGACGCUGGAGGAGGACUAGGAAUCGACCAACAGGAUUCCUCAUAAAACGUGUUUCUGGAGCGGAUGCGAGCUGGUAGGGGAGCCGUGAAUCUGGAGGAUUACCAUCACACUACUAACAUGGAUUACGUUAGGGCCAGACUCGCGCUGUUUGUUCCAGACCAGGACUCUGGCUGAGGAGAGCUGAUGGAGGAGCCAAGACUCUGGAGGGCGACAUCACUCUACCAACCAGGAUCCUCACCAGGAAUCUGGAGGACUGAUGGGGAAGCCGUACAUCUGGAAGGCAAAUCCUGAGGACAACCAGGACUCUACCAUCAAGGAUUCCUCGUAAGUGCAUUAUCUGGACAUAGUGGACUAGACACACCUGAGCUGAACCUC